AGCGAACGCUGGCGGUAGGCCUAACACAUGCAAGUCGAACGGCAGCACAGUAAGAGCUUGCUCUUACGGGUGGCGAGUGGCGGACGGGUGAGGAAUACAUCGGAAUCUACUUUUUCGUGGGGGAUAACGUAGGGAAACUUACGCUAAUACCGCAUACGACCUACGGGUGAAAGCAGGGGAUCUUCGGACCUUGCGCGAUUGAAUGAGCCGAUGUCGGAUUAGCUAGUUGGCGGGGUAAAGGCCCACCAAGGCGACGAUCCGUAGCUGGUCUGAGAGGAUGAUCAGCCACACUGGAACUGAGACACGGUCCAGACUCCUACGGGAGGCAGCAGUGGGGAAUAUUGGACAAUGGGCGCAAGCCUGAUCCAGCCAUACCGCGUGGGUGAAGAAGGCCUUCGGGUUGUAAAGCCCUUUUGUUGGGAAAGAAAAGCAGCAGGUUAAUACCCCGCUGUUCUGACGGUACCCAAAGAAUAAGCACCGGCUAACUUCGCG
rnacentral:rRNA from 1 species